rnacentral:rRNA from 1 species
UACGAAGGGGGCUAGCGUUGCUCGGAAUCACUGGGCGUAAAGGGUGCGUAGGCGGGUUUCUAAGUCAGAGGUGAAAGCCUGGAGCUCAACUCCAGAACUGCCUUUGAUACUGGAAGUCUUGAGUUCGGGAGAGGUGAGUGGAACUGCGAGUGUAGAGGUGAAAUUCGUAGAUAUUCGCAAGAACACCAGUGGCGAAGGCGGCUCACUGGCCCGAUACUGACGCUGAGGCACGAAAGCGUGGGGAGCAAAC